rnacentral:misc_RNA from 1 species
AACGCACAUUGCGCCCGCUAGUAUUCUGGCGGGCAUGCCUGUUCGAGCGUCAUUUCAACCAUCAAGCGCCUGCGCUUGUGUUGGAGCCCUGCGGCUGCCGCAGGCUCCCAAACCCAGUGGCGGGCUCGUCGUCGUACCGAGUGCAGUAAAUUUACCACGCUCAGGGCGCGCGACGGGUGAUCGGCCGUAAAACACCCCCCUUCUCAAGGUUGACCUCGGAUCAGGUAGGAAUACCCGCUGAACUUAA